UACGUAGGGACCAAGCGUUGUUCGGAUUUACUGGGCGUAAAGCGUGCGUAGGCGGUUAUUUAAGUCUGUUGUGAAAUCCCCGGGCUCAACCUGGGGAAUGGCAAUGGAUACUGGAUAGCUAGAGUGUGAUAGAGGAUGGUGGAAUUCCCGGUGUAGCGGUGAAAUGCGUAGAGAUCGGGAGGAACAUCAGUGGCGAAGGCGGCCAUCUGGAUCAACACUGACGCUGAGGCACGAAAGCGUGGGGAGCAAACAGGG
rnacentral:rRNA from 1 species